AUUGAACGCUGGCGGCGUGCCUAACACAUGCAAGUCGAGCGGUAACAGGUGUAGCAAUACAUGCUGACGAGCGGCGAACGGGUGAGUAAUGCUUCGGAAUCUACCCAAUGGUGGGGAAUAACCAGCCGAAAGGUUGGCUAAUACCGCAUACGUCCCACGGGAGAAAGCAGGGGAUCGCAAGACCUUGCGCCAAUGGAUGAGCCGAAGUCGGAUUAGCUAGUUGGAGGGUAACGGCCUACCAAGGCGACGAUCCGUAGCUGGUCUGAGAGGACGACCAGCCACACUGGGACUGAGACACGGCCCAGACUCCUACGGGAGGCAGCAGUGGGGAAUACUGGACAAGUAGGGGGAAACCCUGAUCCAGCGACGCCGCGUGUGUGAAGAAGGCCU
rnacentral:rRNA from 1 species